UACGAAGGGGGCUAGCGUUGUUCGGAAUUACUGGGCGUAAAGCGCGUGUAGGCGGGUCUUUUAAGUCAGGGGUGAAAUGCCAAGGCUCAACCUUGGAACUGCCUUUGAUACUGGAGAUCUUGAGUCCGGGAGAGGUGAGUGGAACUGCGAGUGUAGAGGUGAAAUUCGUAGAUAUUCGCAAGAACACCAGUGGCGAAGGCGGCUCACUGGCCCGGAACUGACGCUGAGACGCGAAAGCGUGGGGAGCAAACAGG
rnacentral:rRNA from 1 species